rnacentral:rRNA from 1 species
UACGUAGGAUGCAAGCGUUGUCCGGAAUUACUGGGCGUAAAGGGCGAGCAGGCGGCUUUUCAAGUCCGAUGUGAAAUCUCCCGGCUUAACUGGGAGGGGCCAUUGGAAACUGGGAGGCUAGAGUGCAGGAGAGGCUAACGGAAUUCCCGGUGUAGUGGUGAAAUGCGUAGAUAUCGGGAGGAACACCAGUGGCGAAGGCGGUUAGCUGGCCUGUAACUGACGCUGAGGCGCGAAGGCUAGGGGAGCGAACAGG